UACGACUACAUAUCAGGCAUAUCAAUAAGCGGAGGAAAAGAAACUAACUAGGAUUCCCUCAGUAACGGCGAGUGAAGCGGGAAGAGCUCAAAUUUGAAAUCUUCAAGGUUUUACCUUGACGAAUUGUAGUUUAAAGAAGUGUUUUCUGUUGGUGUUUUGGUAAAAGUUCUUUGGAAUAGGACAUCAUAGAGGGUGAGAAUCCCGUAUUUGACCAUUUACUUCCAGCUGUUGUGAUACACUUUCAAAGAGUCGGAUUGUUUGGGAAUGCAGUCCAAAAUGGGUGGUAAAUUUCAUCUAAAGCUAAAUAUUGGCGAGAGGACCGAUAGCGAACAAGUACCGUGAGGGAAAGAUGAAAAGAACUUUGAAAAGAGAGUUAAACAGUACGUGAAAUUGUCAAAAGGGAAGCGUUUGACACCAGUGUUGUUUUCUCGAAAAUCAAUUAAAAGGUAUGGGAUUUUGUAUUGUUAAGACCUUAUCAGCUUACGGUACUUUUUUCUUAUUCUUUUUAAUGCACUCUUCGUUUAACAAGUCAACAUCAAUUUCUUUUGUUGUAAAAGAGUCAUUGGAAGGUGGCUUUCACUUCGGUGAAAGUGUUUUAUAGCCUUUGGCUUCUGCAAUCGGAGAGAUUGAGGUCUGCAGCGUAGAUCCUUCGGGGUUAGAUACGUAGAUGCUAAGUUAUAGUUUUUCAUAGACAACUUGUUGACUAUGAUUAAUCAUGUAGCUUACUCGUUUGCGCUAUUUUACCUACGCUUAGGAUGUUGAAUCUGUGCGAGACUAC
rnacentral:rRNA from 1 species